rnacentral:rRNA from 1 species
GACGUAGGGCGCAAGCGUUGUCCGGAUUUAUUGGGCGUAAAGAGCUCGUAGGCGGCUUGUUGCGUCGUCCGUGAAAACCUGUGGCUCAACUACAGGCUUGCGGUCGAUACGGGCGGGCUGGAGUUCGGUAGGGGAGACUGGAAUUCCUGGUGUAGCGGUGAAAUGCGCAGAUAUCAGGAGGAACACCGGUGGCGAAGGCGGGUCUCUGGGCCGAUACUGACGCUGAGGAGCGAAAGCGUGGGUAGCAAACAGG